CUGUAUCUUUAAACUCAGUCGACCAGAAUCAAUUUGACCUGUGGGUGGUGUUCGCUUUCCUUUGCUCCAUAGUCCGCAAUCAAAGUUUAAUACAGAGAGUCAAGGAUCAAAUCAAAUCACAUUUUUAUUCUCACACGAAAUACCAUUUUCUUAAAACAAUUUUCAUCAUUAUGGGGACCUUCUAAAUUAAAUUCACGGAGUGGCUGCCGAAUUCACCCAUGUCGGAGAACUGCAAUUUAUCUUGGUACACAUGAACUUCACUCAAUAAAUAAGAGUAUGGCGAGUACCCCACAAGAGCAGAACAGAGUCAUCCAAACAAUUAUUUCAGAAACAGAACAUGUCCAUGUAGUUUUCAAUACUAUAAUAACAGUGAUUUAGUCUGUUUUUUCAGUUAUUUGUGGUUAUAAAACCUAAAUCAAGCUAAUUAUAUUCCAAGUAUAUAAAGUGUAUUUAUAUAGUGUACGACCCGGGGAACAGUUAAAGGGGAGGGGGGAUGAAUGAGCCAUUUGGAAGCUGGGGAUGAUUAGGUGGCCAUGAUGGACAAAUUGGGAAUUUAGCCAGGACACCGGGGUUAACACCCCUACUCUUACAAUAAGUGCCAUGGGAUCCUCAGUGACCACAGAGAGUCAGGACACCUGUUUAACAUCCCAUCCGAAAAGACAGCACCCUACACAGGGCAAUGCACUGCCAUGGGAUAUUUCUUUUUAGACAAGAGGAAAGAGUGCCUCCUACUGGCCCUCCAACACUACUUCCAGCAGCAUCUGGUCUCCCAUCCAGGACCAACCCUGCGUAGCUUCAGAGGAAAUACAGCAUAGGAUACAGGGUGGUAUGCUUCUGGCUGUUAGAGGUCAGAGAGCAUGGCUCUGGCAGACCUCCUCACCUUGCUGCUCAUCCCCUUCACCCUGUAGUCACGUAGGUUGCUGGUUCGAAUCCCAGGUCUGACUGGAAAAUUGUGGUGGGCCAGCAACCUGAGGGUUGCCAGUUUGAAUCGAGGAAAAGAAACACACAUAAAAAACUGUUGAGAUGGGUAUGUGAGCCAGUUACUAUACUGGAGGGUUGUAAUGGGGAUGUGAGCCAGUUACUAUACUGCAGGGUUGGGAUGUGGGCCAGUUACUAUACUGGGUUACUAUGAUGGGGAUGUGGGCCAGUUACUAUACUGGAGGGUUGUUAUGGGGAUGUGGGCCAGUUACUAUACUAGAGGGUUGUAAUGGGGAUGUGGGCCAGUUACUAUACUGGAGGGUUGAUGGAUUCAAAAUAUUAAAAGCUGAGGACUUCCAUUCCUCUGUGACAAUGAAUUAACAAUACUUUGGCUACGCGUGGCCGCUGGGGGACACCUCCUGCAAGGUGUAGCAGUUCUCCCUGGCAGCCAGCCCCUAAAGCCUGUGAGCUGUGUCCAUGACGCCAGGCCAUGAUCAACAUCAAACCCUACUACCAUGGACCUGGUGAUCCUGAUCUGGGCAUCAGACAUCUGUAUCAGUCUGCCUCUCAGGAUCUUUGGCACUAAGGAUAGCUUUGGGGCCUGGCCUGGCUGAUGUUACUAUCUAUCUGUCCAACAUGCAAGAGAACCACUACCAACAAUGGCUUGGUUUGAUACUGUACCCUAUUUGUUAUAUGGUAACCAACUUUUUACCUGGUCCACUUCAUUUUUUAUUUAACCUUUACUUAACUAGGCAAAUCAGUUAAAAAUCAAAUUCUUAUUUAGAAUGACAGCCUAGGAACAGUGGGUUAACUGCCUUGUUCAGCGGCAGAACAACAGAUUUUUACCUUGUCAGCUCGGGGAUUCGAUCUAGCAACCUUUCGGUUGCUGGCCCAGCGCGGUAACCACUAGGAAUAGAGUGCAAUUUCAGAUAAACAUAAUGUGUGACAAGAAGCCUUAUGUUUAAUUCAAAGAAUGUCACUGGAAGUAACCAGGUCUGUUUUAAAAAAUAAAAAAUAAUUGUACUGUUAUUUAAUUUUCUAGAAACAAAAUGGUGUCAAAAUGUUAAUAUGAGAGCACACAAACAUUCAAAUCCAACAGGCGGUCCUGAGCCAGUACAUUCUCUACUUCUUUGUCCCCAUGCUGUUGAUCGCUUUCAACUACACCCGCCUGGCCUGCUUCCUCCACAAGAGCCCUGUCAUAUCUGUAGUGCCCGACAGCACGCGGCGAGCCUCCCUCAUGGUCUUCCUGGCAGCCGGAGCCUUCUCUUGUCUGCUGGCUGCCCGGGUAUGAUGAUGAUGAUGAUGAUGAUGAUAAUGACUUAAUUUCUCCAUUAGGAAAUUAUUUUUGCAUCCUUUUUUUAAAUGGCAUCUUAUUCCCAAUAUAGUGCACUAGAUUUGACCAGGGCCCAUUAGGGCCCUAAAGAGUGAAUAACUAUUCUGAUGACUCUUCUUUAUUAGGUACAUCUUGGAGCUGUGUGUGUACGUCUCCAUCGCCACGGCCAGUCCUGGGAGAUUUCUACUUCACCUGCAGCGUGCUUCGGUACCUCCACCCCUGUGUUAACACUGCGCUGCACGUGCUGCUGUCUGAAAGGAACCGCCACUGCAGCCGCAGGUUGUCAGCGUCACCACAGAGACCAUGUAGACCUCACACACUGGCCACCAGGGGGAGCUGGCUUUGCUUUGGCAUGGGGCUAAUCUCUAGUCUGGGUACCAGUCUGUUUAGCUAUCAUUACACUCCUUACCACAACUGUCACGCUAAACGCGUUGGCAUAUGACACUGAGUACAAGCAGUGGAAUGUUCUUUAAACGGACUGGUACCCAGGAUAAACCAAGCAGUGGAAUGUUCUCUAAACAGACUGGUACCCAGGAUAAACCAAGCAGUGGAAUGUUCUCUAAACAGACUGGUACCCAGGACAAACCAAGCAGUGGAAUGCUUCUGAUGCUUCUGGAAGAGGUGUUGGAGGGCCAGUAGGAGACACUCUUUCCUCAGGUCUAAAAAAUAUCCCAAUACCUCAGGACACUGCCCUGUGUAGGGUGUUGUCUUUCGGAGGGGACGUUAAACGGUCACUAAAGAUCCCAUGGCACAUAUCGUAAGAGUAGAGGUGUUAACCCUGGUGUCCUGGCUAAAUUCCCAAGCUGUCCCUCAUACCAUCAUGGUCACCUAAUCAUCCCCAGCUUACAAUUUGCUCAUUCAUCCUCCUCUCCCCUGUAACUAUUCCCCCUAAAUAGCAGCUUUAGCAGCUGUUGUCUAUUCUCUUGUGACAGAUGAUACAUAAAUAUACCAUACAUUAUUUGAGUAGCUGGCUGUAAAUGAGAAUGUGUUUUCAGUCAACUUACCUGGAAAAUAAAUGAUAGUGGAAUUAUUUAAAUAAAUAUUGUGUGUGUGCUGGCCAGCUACUCAGCCAGCUACUCAGCCAGCUACUCAGCCAGCUACUCAGCCAGCUACUCAGCCAGCUACUCAGCCAGCUACUCAGCCAGCUACUCAGCCAGCUACUCAGCCAGCUACUCAGCCAGCUACUCAGCCAGCUACUCAGCCAGCUACUCAGCCAGCUACUCAAAUAAUGUAUGGUAUAUUUAAGUAUCAUCUGUCACAUGAGAAUAGACAACAGCCUGGCUACUAUUUAGGGGUAGGGGAAUCUUUUUUUUCUUUUUAAAAAAUGUUCUCCCCAAUUUCAUGGUAUCCAAUUGUUAGUAGUUAACAUCUUGUACUAUUGUUUGUACAGAUGAACAUGGCACCUUCAGGAGUUUUGAAAAUUGCUCCCAUGGAUGAACCAGACUUGUAGAGGGCUACAAUUUUUUUUCCAAGGUCUUGGUUGAUUUCUUUUGAUUUUCCCAUGAUGUCAAGCAUAGAGGCACUGAGUUUGAAGGUAGGCCUUGAAAUACAUCCACAGGUACACCUCCAAUUGACUCAAAUAAUGUCAAUUAGCCUAUCAGAAGCUUCUAAAGAUAUGACAUAAUUUUCUGGAAUUUUUCAAGCUGUUUAAAGGCACAGUCAACUUAGUGUAUGUAAACUUAUGACCCACUGGAAUUGUGAUACAGUGAAUUAUAAGUGAAAUAAUCUGUCUGUAAACAAUUGUUGGAAAUGUACUUGUGUCAUGCACAAAGUAGAUGUCUUAACCGACUUCCCAAAACUAUAGUUUGUUCACAAGAAAUUUGUGGAGUGGUUGAAAAACGAGUUUUAAUGACUCCAACCUUUAGUGUAUGUAAACUUCUGACUUCAACUGUAAUUAUUGUGUGAUGUUUUUAACACUUAUUACUUCAUACGGUCUGAAUAUGAAUAUUGAUUCAGUACAUAGUAUUACAUUACAAUGCAGUACAUUAGCUCACAUUCAUCGAUGAGGUCCCUGAUGUGGUCUUGUUGUGUUGAUGAUGUACCGAUCUGUUUCUUGUCAUUUCUUCAGUUACUUUACGCUUCUUCUUUUUGUGUUUCAUUCUUGCCGGAUCAGAAUGACA
ensembl:lncRNA